rfam:Culex pipiens quinquefasciatus supercont3.423 genomic scaffold, whole genome shotgun sequence.
GGUCUGGUGGCGCAGUGGUUAGCGUGGUAGCCUCUCACCCCAAUAUGUCCUGGGUUUAAUCCCAGACGGACCC